rnacentral:rRNA from 1 species
CCUACGGGAGGCAGCAGUGAGGAAUAUUGGUCAAUGGGCGUAAGCCUGAACCAGCCAAGUCGCGUGAGGGAUGAAGGUUCUAUGGAUCGUAAACCUCUUUUAUAAGGGAAUCAAGAGCGGGACGUGUCCCGUUUUGUAUGUACCUUAUGAAUAAGGAUCGGCUAACUCCGUGCCAGCAGCCGCGGUCAUACGGAGGAUCCGAGCGUUAUCCGGAUUUAGUGGGUUUAAAGGGUGCGUAGGCGGCCUUUUAAGUCAGCGGUGAAAGUCUGUGGCGCAACCAUAGAAUUGCCGUUGAAACUGGGAGGCUUGAGUAUGUUUGAGGCAGGCGGAAUGCGAGGUGUAGCGGUGAAAUGCUUAGAUAUCACGCAGAACCCCGAUUGCGAAGGCAGCCUGCCAAGCCAUGACUGACGCUGAUGCACGAAAGCGUGGGGAGCAAACAGGAUUAGAUACCCGGGUAGUC